AUACGUACCUGGCAGGAGAGACACUGAUCAUGAAGGAGGUUUUCCCAGGGCGAGGCUUAUCCACUGCACUCCAGAUGAGCUGACCCCUGUGAUUUCCCCCACUGUGGGAAACCCCGCUGCACGAUGUGUGGUAGUGGGGAGAGGGGGGCAGGGAGUUGCUGAUACCAUU